rnacentral:rRNA from 1 species
UACGUAGGGUGCGAGCGUUAAUCGGAAUUACUGGGCGUAAAGCGUGCGCAGGCGGUUAUGUAAGACAGUUGUGAAAUCCCCGGGCUUAACCUGGGAACUGCGUUUGAAACUACAAGGCUAGAGUGUGGCAGAGGGGGGUGGAAUUCCACGUGUAGCAGUGAAAUGCGUAGAGAUGUGGAGGAACACCGAUGGCGAAGGCAGCCCCCUGGGUUAACACUGACGCUCAGGCACGAAAGCGUGGGGAGCAAACAGG